rnacentral:rRNA from 1 species
UACGGAAGGCAGCAGUGGGGAAUAUUGCACAAUGGGCGAAAGCCUGAUGCAGCUAUGCCGCGUGUAUGAAGAAGGCCUUAGGGUUGUAAAGUACUUUCAUCGGGGAGGAAAAACAAAACUAAUAAUUUUAUUUCUUGACGUUACCCGAAAAAGAAGCACCGGCUAACUCCGUGCCAGCAGCCGCGGUAAUACGGAGGGUGCUAGCGUUAAUCAGAAUUACUGGGCGUAAAGAGCACGUAGGUGGUUUUUUUAAGUCAGAUGUGAAAUCCCUGGGCUUAACCUAGGAACUGCAUUUUGAAACUGAAAUACUAGAGUAUCGUAGAGGGAGGUAGAAUUCUAGGUGUAGCGGUGAAAUGCGUAGAUAUCUGGAGGAAUACCUGUGGCGAAAGCGGCCUCUUAAACGAAUACUGACACUGAGGUGCGAAAGCGUGGGGAGCAAACAGGGAUUAGAUACC